rnacentral:rRNA from 1 species
UACGAAGGGGGGCUAGCGUUGCUCGGAAUCACUGGGCGUAAAGGGUGCGUAGGCGGGUCUUUUAAGUCAGGGGUGAAAUCCUGGAGCUCAACUCCAGAACUGCCUUUGAUACUGAGGAUCUUGAGUUCGGGAGAGGUGAGUGGAAUUCCCAGUGUAGAGGUGAAAUUCGUAGAUAUUGGGAAGAACACCCGUGGCGAAGGCGGCUCACUGGCUCGCAACUGACGCUCAUGCACGACAGCGUGGGGAGCAAACAGG